rnacentral:lncRNA from 1 species
GUGGUCACACUACAACAAGAACUAGGCAAAAGGGAAACAUUUUGGCAAACAGAACUAGACAAGCAGGUCACAACUCUUAAAGGCCAGGAUUACUGGGUCACAACCCUAUGGGACAUAAAAGACAAAGAUAGAACUUCACCUGACCUUCACCAUGGGGCUACAUCUCUACCCAUACAUGAAGAUCAGGAUUCAGACGUAUCAGACCUCAGUGACCAGGUCACACUACAACAAGAACUGGGUAAAAGGGGAACAUUUUGGCCAAUAGAACCAAACAAACAGGCCACAACUCUCAAAGACCAGAAUUACUGGGUCACAGCCCUAUGGGACAUAAAAGACAAAGACAGGACUUCACCUGACCUUCCCUUUAGGGCCACACCUCUAUCCAGACACAAGGACCAGGAUUCAGAUAUAUCAGACCUCAGUGCCCAGGUCACACUCCAACAAGAACUGAGCAAAAGGGAAACAUCUUAUCCAACAGAGAUAGAAAAGCAGGCCACAAUUCUAAAAGACAAAGUUUACUGGGCAACACCCACACUGGAUCUAAAACAUGAAGAAAGAACUUCACCUGACCUCCACCAUGGGGCUACAUCUUCACUCAGCUGUGAGGACCAGGAUUCAGGUGCAAUAGACCUCAGUGAGCAGGUCAUACUCCAACAAAAAUUAGGUAAAAAGAAAAUAUCUUGUCCAACAGAAUCAGACAAACAAGUUGCAAGUCUAACAGACCAGGAUUACUGGGCCACAUUCCCGUGGGACAUAAAACAUCAAGACAGAACUUCACUUGACCAUCACCAUGGAGCUACACCUCCACUCAGUCAUGAAGACCAGGAUUCAGAUGCAACAGACCUUAGUUCCCCAAUCAUACUCCAACAAGAACUAAGUAAAAAGGAAAUAUUUUGUCCUACAGAGUUAGACAAGCAGGUCACAAGCCUAACAGACCAGGAUUAUUGGACCACAUUCCCAUGGGACAUAAAACACCAAGACAGAACUUCACUUGGCCAUCACCAUGGAGCUACACCUCCACUCAGUCAUGAAGACCAGGAUUCAGAUGCAACAGACCCUAGUCCCCCAACCACACUCCAACAAGAACUAAGUAAAAAGGAAACAUCUUGUCCCACAGAACUAGACAAGCAAGUCACAAAUGUAACAGACAAGGAUUACUGGGCAACAUCUCCAUGGAAUAUAAAACAUCAAGACAGAAAAUCCCUUGACUUUCACCACAAGGCUAUAACUCUAUCCAGCCAUGGUGACAAAACUUCAAAUAUAUCUGACCUCAGUGCCCAUGCUAUACUCCAACAAGAACAAGGAAAAAGGGAGACAUUCUGGUCAACAGAACUAGACCAACAGGCCACAACUCUAACAGAUAAGGUUUACUGGACAACACCUACAUUGGAUCUAAAUCAUGAAGACAGAAUUUCACUUGACUUUCACCAUGAGGCCACUUAUCCACCCAGAAAUGAGGUCCAGGAUUCAGACUCAGAUGACCUCAGUGCCCAGGCCACACUCCAGCAAGAACUAGGCAAAAAGAAAACUUCUUGUCCUACAGAAGUAGACCAGCAGGCCAUAAAUCUAACAGAUGAGGUUUGCUGGAUAACAUUGCCAUGGGACAUAAAGCACCAAGACAGAACUUUCCCUGAUCCUUAUCAUGAAGUCACAUCUCCACCCAGACAUGAAGACCAGGAUUCAGAUGUGUCAGAACUCAGUACUCAAACCAUAAUUCAACCAGAACUAAAUGAAUGGAAAACAUUUUGGUCCAGAGAAGCAAACCGACAGGUUACAACUCUAAUAGACAAGGUUUACUGGGUAACACCCAUGUUGGAUCCAAAAUACCUGGACAGAACUUCACCUGAUCUUCAUCAUGAGAUCACACCUCCAUCCAGCUAUGAAGAACAGGAUUCAGAUUUCAUAUACCUCAGUGGCGAGGCCACACUCCAACAAGAACUAGGCAAAAGGAAAGCAUCUUCUCCUACAGAGCUAGACCAGCAGGCCAAAACUCUAAAAGAUGAGGUUUCCUGGGCAACAUUGUCAUGGGACAGAACUUCACCUGCCACGCCCCAUGAGCCUACAAGCCCAUCCAGCCAUGAAGAUGAUAGUUCAGCUAUAUCAGACCUCAGUGCUCAGUCCAUACUCCAAGAAGAAUUAGAUAAAUGGAAAACAUCUUGUCCCACAGAACUAGAUCAGCAGGCCAGAAUUCUAAAAGAUGAGGUUUCCUGGGCAACAUCCUCAUGGGGCAUAAAAUACCCAGGUAGAAAUUCACCUGAUAAUCACCUUGAGGCUACACCUUCAUCCAACCAUGAUUAUCAGGAUUCAGAUCUGUCAGACUUCAGUGCUCAGGAAACACUCCAAUUAGAUAUAAAUGAAUGGGAAAAACUUUGGCCAACAGAACUGGAUCAGGAGGGCACAACUCUACCAGACCAGGCUUCCUGGGAAAUCUCCCCAUGGGAUAUAAAACAGCAAGACAGAACUUCACCUGAUACUGACCAUACAACCUCAACAUCAUCUAGCCAUGAAAGGAAGGAUGGGGAUGUACCAGAUCUCAAUGCUGAGGCUAUACCCCAACCAAAACUAGACCAAUGGGAAAUAAUGCCAUCAAUACUAGAUCAAGAGUUAAGAGUUGAUCUCACAAUUCAACACUCCAGGACAAUACCUUCAGUGAGCAUAAUAGAGUCCCAGAAUGUGGUUCUAUCUGAUCCUGAGCACAAAAUCAUACCUCCAUCCAGCAAUGACUACCCAGUUGGGGAUAUAUCCAAGCCAAAUACCAAGAUUACACUCCAACAAGAUCAAGAUGACUGGGAUAUAUUUUGGACAAGACUAGACCAUCAGGACACAGCUUCACUCAACAAUGACUAUCAGAUCCAACAUGUCCCAGGCCCUAAAGCUGACAUAAUUCAAAAAGAACAAGAAGAUUUAGAUAUAUUUUGGACAAGAACAUUAGACUAUCGGGCCAUGACUCCAACAAACAAGGAUUACUGGACUGCAUUUCCUUUACUGAACAUAGAACAUCACAAUAUGAUACAACCUGAUCCUGACCACCAAGUAUCAUGUACAACCAGCCCUGACCAUCAAACUGAAGACACAACAGAUCCCAAUGUCCAGAGUAUAUUUCAAACAAAAAAAGAUUCAUGGGAAACAAUGCCACAGGAAAUAGAACGCAAGACCCUAAUUCUCACAACCCAUGAUCAGGAAGCAAUAUUUCUACUGGGCAAAAAUCACCAGGACACAAAUCUCCCUGGCUCUGACAAGCAAGAUUUCAUUCUAUCCAUCCAUGACACUGAGGAUACUGAUGUACCAGGCCCCAAUACUUUAGUUACAAUACAACCAGAAAAAGGACAAUGGGAAUUGAUGCCCCCUGAAACAGAUCACAUGGCAAUAAUAAGUUUCACAGUUCAUCAGCAGGAAGCAACACCUUCACUAUCUUUAAACCACAAGGACACAAAUCCAUCUAACUCUAUCCAUUGGGCAGCUACUUCACUGAUCAUUUAGUCUGUCAUUAGGCCAGCUUUUCUUAGUUAAAUUGAAUAGACCACUGGGAAACAAUGCCACCAGCCCAGGAUUUCAACAACACAAAACUAUAAGGCAACAACUAUACUGAGCAUUGACAUAAGAAUGCCAAACCUUGACUGACCCCCAAAAUCAUGACAUACUUCUACACAACUCUAAGGAUGCAAAAUCAAAUUCCAAUGCCAAGAUCAUAUUUCAAAGAAAACAAAGCACUGGCCAAGAACAGAUAAUCCGACCAUAGUCCUUAUAGAUCAGGUGUCUGAAACAAUAUUUCUCCUCAAUUUAGACCCCAAGAACACAGUUCUACCUGAACCAGACUCUAAUUCCACCAUGCCUGACCAUUAGACUAUGGAUGCAUCAGGCAGCAAUGCCCAAAUCUCAUUUCAUAUACAAAUCCACUUAAAAGCAGUUCAUAUACCUAUGAAGGUAUAACUCUUAUUAUCCAGGAUCAUGAAAAAACACAUUUAGUGGAUUUAGACAACCAGGCAUUGAGGGCCACAUCUAGAAGUCAACAGCCAUUUGCAGGGUAAAUAGCCAUGAAGAGCAAGAGCAAUAGAGAAGAGGGGGCAAGGACAUAUUGGACAUUAAUCAGAUCCCUGCUAAAAGUAUUUCAAAGGUGACCAAGG